rnacentral:rRNA from 1 species
AUACGGAGGGUGCGAGCGUUAAUCGGAAUUACUGGGCGUAAAGCGUGCGUAGGUGGCUUGGUAAGUCGGAUGUGAAAGCCCUGGGCUCAACCUGGGAACUGCAUUCGAUACUGCCUGGCUAGAGUAUAGUAGAGGGAAGUGGAAUUCCGGGUGUAGCGGUGAAAUGCGUAGAUAUCCGGAGGAACACCAGUGGCGAAGGCGGCUUCCUGGACUAAUACUGACACUGAGGUACGAAAGCGUGGGGAGCAAACAGGAUUAGAAACCCCAGUAGUCC